rnacentral:lncRNA from 1 species
GCAUGAAAACAAUUACAUAAUCAUCCACGGGUUGUAUAUGUUGCAAACAAUUAUCAAAUGCUAAGCUACAGUCUGUACACUUCUUUUCUAAAAUGUGUUUAAAGAAGUCACACAAUCUUCUAUGGAACAGAGGAAAGAUUUCUAUUUGUAAUACAACAUAAAUGUUUGCUUAAACAUAUGUUGCACAUCCUCGCAACCGGCAACGAAGCAUGCCAUUGUACUGUCAAGGCAAGUACUAGUCAUUAGUACUAAAAAAAUUGUACAAGUAUAUAUUGCGACAUUCUACUGUUCCAUAUCAGCAAGAUAUUGAAGAUAAGAUUCCAAACGAUCGUUAGGAGCACUAGAACUCAGAGUUACUAGUCAUGGAGCUCCUUCAAAUCGGUGGCACUGACGGGGUGUUAGAGGAUGGUCGUGAGCCUGCAAAUCCAGUGAGGGAACUGAAACCAGCAGUAGCAGAGUAAUUUGCCAACCCAGGCUUGCGUAUACACGUUUGUUGGAAUGGAGCAGUGAAGUCUCGCUAGCAGUACCUCUCAUGUAGUAAUACAUGGACUUGCUGUUAAAUAUACAUGGACCUGCUGUUAAAUACACAUGGAACUGAUCGUUUUCUAACCUGAGAACUGCAGAAAAUUAGCAAAAGUGAGCCACCAAAUUCUAUAUAGAAGCGCAGAAAUUAAGACAUCAAAAGAUUAAACAAAGUAGCUGGAGUUUUUUUAACACAUCAGCAUUUGAAUUUCUAGUUGUUCUUGUCCUCGGAACAAAGUACCUUCAUAUUUAACCACCGCAAAUAAACUCUUAAAUACUUAUGGCAAGCGUAUUUGAACUGAUGUAUCCUUUUUCUAGCUAUUGAAUUGCUAACCACCACAAAUGAACUCUUAACUACUUAUGAGUUUUUAAAUGCAUAAUACAACGGGAAAUGGGUUUCAAUCAUAUGCUAGAAGAUGCCCCAUGCAAAAACUAGAAAUAUGAGUGAGAUAGAAAGAGUUGUACAAGAGUUGUUUCAACAAGAAUCUACUCAACCUACAAAGAGUACACCCACCGAUCCAUGUACCACUCGCUCCCUCAUGUCCCCAACUCCAUAAUAUGUACUAGCAGCUAACCUUAAUACUGCAGACUUGUUGAUCAACAUCUGCCCACAUUCCACUUAUUGAAUGAAGCCAUGAAUGUGUCCCUGAGAAUAAAACAGACCAUAUGAGAGGACGGUAACACACGAGAUUGAGUUCCGGUUCAGGUGUUUGUAAGUUAGUGAAACAUGUGACGAAGAACUGAACUCAAAAAACAAGAUUUUUGGAUAUGGAAGAAGGCGACAGACAUCGGGUGAACCUGCUACUCCUACUCCUGCGGACUGACCGCUCCGGUGUAGUGGAGCUGAUGGAGGCGUGGUUCACGAGCAGCGGCUUGGCGCACCGGGAUUUGGCCGCUAUAGGGGAUCCGCUACCCCUACUCCUGUGGACUGACGGCUCUGGUGAAGUGGAGAUGAUGGAGGCGGGGUUCAUGAGCAGCGGCUGGGCGCGCCAGGAUUUGGCUCUGUAAAGAUGAAGUGCAAAUCACAUUAAAGGUGAACUAAAUAUCUUCCUAGCAACCUCGUCCAAUUGCGUUACUCAUAACAUGAUCUAUAGAGACUUACAUCCCAAAUAAAAUACAUGCAGAGAUGGGCGGCCACCAGCUUGUUUAUAU